rnacentral:misc_RNA from 1 species
AACGUAGGAGGCGAGCGUUAUCCGGAGUUACUGGGCGUAAAGCGCAUGUAGGCGGUUAUUCAAGUGGCGCGUGAAAGCUCCCGGCUAAACUGGGAGAGGACGUGUCAGACUGGAUGGCUAGAGAGAGAUAGAGGGGCGUAGAAUUCCGGGUGUAGCGGUGAAAUGUGUAGAGAUCCGGAGGAAUACCAGUGGGGAAACCGACGCCCUGGGUCUUAUCUGACGCUGAGAUGCGAAAGCGUGGGGAGCGAACGGG